rnacentral:rRNA from 1 species
UAAGAGCUCAGAUUUGAAAGGCACUUGUGCCGUUGUAUUCUGAAGUUAGGAUUCUCGAAAACGACACCUAAGUUUUCUGGAAAGGAAUGCCACAGAGGGUGAUAGCCCCGUACGGUGUUGACUCGAUACAGAGUCCUAACAUGGAGUCGAGUUGUUUGGGAAUGCAGCUCAAAUGGGUGGUAUGCUCCAUCUAAGGCUAAAUAUUUGCGAGAGACCGAUAGCGAACAAGUACUGUGAAGGAAAGAUGAAAAGAACUUUGAAAAGAGAGUGAAAUAGUACGUGAAAUUGUUGAAAUGGAAGGGUAGGCCGCUAACCAUGUAGGACCGUGUUUGGGGGGAAGAUAAAUGCUGUAGAAUGUGGCUCCUCGGAGUGUUAUAGCUACAGUUCAUGUU